rnacentral:rRNA from 1 species
UACGUAGGAGGCGAGCGUUGUCCGGAUUUACUGGGCGUAAAGCGCGCGCAGGCGGCGCACUAAGUACGAUGUGAAAUCUCCCUGCUCAACGGGGAGGGUGCAUAGUAAACUGGUGAGCUAGAGGACGGUAGAGGGGGUGGAAUUGCUGGUGUAGCGGUGAAAUGCGUAGAGAUCAGCAGGAACACCCGUGGCGAAGGCGGCCCCUGGGCCGAACCUGACGCUGAGGCGCGAAGGCUAGGGGAGCGAACGGGG